GGCUCCAUGGUCAAGUGGUUAAGACAUCGCCCUUUCACGGCGGUAUCAGGGGUUCAAAUCCCCUUGGAGUCA
rnacentral:tRNA from 1 species